rnacentral:rRNA from 1 species
CGUGUCUACCUACCUUUGUUGCUUGGCAGGCCGCCUUCGGGCGUCGGCUCCGGCUGAUUAGCGCCUGCCAGAGGCCCCAAAACUCUGUGUUUAGUGAUGUCUGAGUACUAUAAAAUAUUUAAAACUUUCAACAACGGAUCUCUUGGUUCUGGCAUCGAUGAAGAACGCAGCGAAAUGCGAUAAGUAAUGUGAAUUAAAAAAUUCAGUGAAUCAUCGAAUCUUUGAACGCACAUUGCGCCCCUUGGUAUUCCGAGGGGCAUGCCUGUUCGAGCGUCAUUAUAACCACUCAAGCCUAGCUUGGUCUUGGGGUUCGCGUGCUCGCGGCCCUUAAAAUCAGUGGCGGUGCCGUCGGGCUCUAAGCGUAGUAAUUCUCUCGCUAUAGGGUCCCGGCGGUGCUUGCCAGGAACCCCACAUU